rnacentral:rRNA from 1 species
UACGAAGGGGGCUAGCGUUGCUCGGAAUCACUGGGCGUAAAGGGUGCGUAGGCGGGUCUUUAAGUCAGGGGUGAAAUCCUGGAGCUCAACUCCAGAACUGCCUUUGAUACUGAGGAGCUUGAGUACGGGAGAGGUGAGUGGAACUGCGAGUGUAGAGGUGAAAUUCGUAGAUAUUCGCAAGAACACCAGUGGCGAAGGCGGCUCACUGGCCCGUAACUGACGCUGAGGCACGAAAGCGUGGGGAGCAAACAGG